rnacentral:rRNA from 1 species
UACAGGGGGGGCAAGCGUUGUUCGGAAUUACUGGGCGUAAAGGGCUCGUAGGCGGCCAACUAAGUCACACGUGAAAUCCCCAGGCUUAACCUGGGAACUGCGUGUGAUACUGGAUGGCUUGAAUUCGGGAGAGGGAUGCAGAAUUCCAGGUGUAGCGGUGAAAUGCGUAGAUAUCUGGAGGAACACCGGUGGCGAAGGCGGCAUCCUGGACCAACACUGACACUGAGGAGCGAAAGCCAGGGGAGCAAACGGG